UAAAAUGGUAAAUGUUCAUUUGACUAUUU
rnacentral:piRNA from 1 species